CCUACGGGCGGCAGCAGUGAGGAAUAUUGGUCAAUGGCCGCAGGGCUGAACCAGCCAAGUCGCGUGAGGGAUGACGGUCCUAUGGAUUGUAAACCUCUUUUGUCAGGGAGCAAAGGGCGCCACGUGUGGCGCUUUGCGAGUACCUGAAGAAAAAGCAUCGGCUAACUCCGUGCCAGCAGCCGCGGUAAUACGGAGGAUGCGAGCGUUAUCCGGAUUUAUUGGGUUUAAAGGGUGCGAGGGCGGAAGGUCAAGUCAGCGGUAAAAUUUCGGGGCUCAACCCCGUCGUGCCGUUGAAACUGGCGUCCUUGAGUGAGCGAGAAGUAUGCGGAAUGCGUGGUGUAGCGGUGAAAUGCAUAGAUAUCACGCAGAACUCCGAUUGCGAAGGCAGCAUACCGGCGCUCAACUGACGCUCAUGCACGAAAGCGUGGGUAUCGAACAGGAUUAGAUACCCUGGUAGUC
rnacentral:rRNA from 1 species